rnacentral:tRNA from 1 species
GAGGGUAUAGCUCAAGCGGUAGUGAUAGAGCUCAUGCUUAGCAUGCGUGAGGUCCUGGGUUCAAUCCCCAGUACCUCCU